GAUAACUUUUAACUGUCUUCUGGAGACGUUAGGCUUUGCAAGGUGGCAGCUCUUUCAUCAUGUCACACUUUGCUCAAAAAUCAAGUCUAUGGCACUUAGAUUCUGUUCAUGGAAAAGGAAGAAUUGAUGGAGGAAAACGUGGCUUCAGUGGCUUCGCAGGUGGAGGUGUUUCCACCAACUUUGGGAGUGAGAGCAGCUUGCUCUCUGGUAAUGACAAGGGUACGAUGCGAAAUCUGAACGACCGUCUCGCAGUUUACCUGGACAAGGUGGGCACACCGGAGCAGGCGAACGGCACUCUCAAAUAUAAAAUCAAAGCCUAGUCUAAGAAAUUUGGACCUGGAGCUAAUGGCCAAGGAGAAAAACAGGACUACAAGAAGUAUUACCAGAUAAUUGAGGAACUUAAAAACAAGAUAUCAGAUGCAACCAUUAACAACACCAGCCUCACACUACACACUGAUGAUGUAAAACCAGCAGCUGAAGACUUCAGACGAAAGCAAGAUGUAUGAAACUGAACUGGUCCUGUGCCAGAGUGUCAAGGCUGACCUCAGUGGCCUGUCCCAAGUCCUAGGUGACCUGACUGUCCAACACUGAUCUGGAAAUGCAGAUUGAAACUCCGGCAGAGGUGCUACCUUAUCUCAAGAAGAACCAUGAAGCUGUGUGUGCCCAUACACUGAAGCGUAACUUGCCUCUUUCUUCCUUAAUUCUUGUCACUUCCAAUCUAAUGAUCAGAUUAAGGAAAACUCUAAUACAUGAAGUGAAUUCUACUGCCAUUACAGUUGAAUUUUUUGAUGGUUGUUUCCAAUUCAGGAAAUUAAACGCCUGCCAGCUGUUGCAGGCUCGGACGGUCAUGCAGAGAUGGACAGUGCGCCUGGAGCUGACUUACCCAAGCUCCUCGACAACGUGAGAACUCACUACGAAGCCGUGACCGAGCAGAAUCGCCAGGAUGCUGAAAUUAGGCUCAACAACAAGGUCAACCAAAAACACAGUCGAGUCAGGAAAUGAGGACAACUUCCCUUGCCUGAUAAAUGACUCUGUUUCGUAAUUGCAUUUCAGAGCAGAGUGCUACCACAGCAGAUGGCUGCCGCUGCUGGUGCAUCCGAUUCUGCUAAGACUGAGAUGAAUGAGCUGGAGUGGGCUCUUCAGGCUCUGGAGAUGGAACUACCGUCCGCAGGAGCCCUGAUAUAUAAAAAUCUCCUCAAGGGUGGAUAUGCCAAAAACCAAUUUUUCCACACAGAUAACUUCAUGAUUUCACCUCCACAAUGUGUUUCCAAAAGACAGUAUUAUAUUCCUUAAUGAAGUUUAUUUUUAAAAGCUCUUAAGAAAAAGCCAAGAUCUUGGGCUUCUUCAAUUAGUAACUCGGAGGGGAAAGUUUCCAUUUAAUGUAUGAAAAACAUCUGGAAGCAAAAUUAUUAAUUGCACAUAGACACUAUUCUGCAAAUACUAUAGCUCUUGAAUUAGCUGAGACACCCCAAGUGUCAACCUGAGAUGGUUGUUAGGGGAACGCUGGCCUGGCUCGUGUUCAGAAUGAUAUCAAAUGUUUCCAUCUCCAGAUGGGUGGCAAGGCAGGAUUCCUGUCUGAAUGCUUAAGAGAAUUCAGCUAGAUAAAAUGCCCUCGUUUAGAUCAGCUGGAUUUCAUUCAAUAUCAAGGAGUAUUUAUGUUGUAUUUUAAUUAAGAUUUAAUACCCUUAAACUUGAAUAACAAUGUUCCACUUUUUAAAUCAGUUUUCACUUCUACUCCACAACACAAAAUUAUUCAUGAUAAGCAUUUAUAAAGCAUCCAAUGUUUCAGGAGCGGUGAGAUGGGAACCAGGAUAGCAGUGGCAUUUCUGUCUUCUGGGAAGUACACAUUGGCCAUAGGGAAGCUUUUAUGAAACUAAUAAUGCAUUAGCAAGUUGCUCUGUUUUCCAUUGACCUGGUAGACCUGAGCCCCAGUCCCAGGCUGUUUCCCAACUCACUGUGUAACCUUAGAUAAGUCACUCUUCUAAAAGAAUCCAUCUCUAGGCCUCCUUUUUCCUUUAUCUGUAAACUAAGGGAGUUGGUGAUCCCUAAGGUACCUUCUGGUUCUAAAAUCGAUGAUUCUAUGCAAUUAAAUUUUUUUAAAAAUCAGAAAAUUAUCAAGGUGGCAAAAUGAAUGUUAGAGUGAAUUAAAAUGAGAUCUAGAUUUACUCUAAUUCAAGGAGUUUCCUGAAACUUUUCUAAUGCCUUAUGCCCAACGUCACGUUCUAAGUAAGGUAAGGUGUAUCAUCCUUGGCACUGUAGACGUUGGGGUGGGAUAAUUCUUUGGGGAGGGUGGGUGGCUGUCCUGUGGGUUGUUGGAUGUUUAAUGGCAUCCAUUGUCUUUAUCCACUAGUUGCCAGUAGCAUGCCCCUACUGGCUGUGACAACCAAAAUGUCUCCAAACACUGCCAUGUAUGGAAGGGCAAAUCACCCCUGCACCACAUGAAAGCAGCAUUUUCCUGCUGCACGAGAGCAAAUGUUCACCAUGGGACGAAAUGCUCGGCUUGGUCCAAAAGACGCAGGGUGAGGUUCCCUACUUCCCAUGAAAUCUCAAAACCUUACCCCUUAAAACAUGGUGCCCAAGUGCAAAAGGUUAUCUGUCUUAGUUGAAAGAGAAGGAGUUAGAAGAAAGAAUGCACUGUGUCUCCAUUCUUGCAAAGUGAAUAGGAACACUUUCUGAUACUAAUUUACCUAAAUAACUCUUUGUUUCCUCUUGUCUCUUGGGCAAACUUCGAACUUCACUACACCCACAGAAAACUUCCCUGGAAGCCAGGCUGACAGAGUCAGAAGCCAACUACAAGACUCAGCUUUCACAGACCCAGGUUCAGAUCAGCGCCCUGGAGACCCAGCUCCUUCAUGUCUGCAGCGAGACAGAGAGCCAGAGUGCAAGCUGCCAGCAGCUCCUGAACGUCAAGACGCGCCUAGAGAAUGAAAUUGAGGCCUACCAUCGCCUGCUCAAGGGGCAGGGCUGGUACAUGAGAAGCUGCGAGUUGGGUGAAGUAGGGGAGCAAGUGGGGCUGGGGGUAAUUCUAGGAACCAGGUUGCUUCUAGUUACAUUCCUAACUAAAUGCAAGGAUGUUAAACUACAAGGGUUGGACAAACUUCCACGAGGCCCAUCCUAACAGUACAAUUUCCAACAUCACUCUUACCAGCUCCAUGAAGACAAUGACCUUGAUUUAUGAAACCAGCUUCCUGGUCCCACAAAUUACCACCCCACACAAGGCACUCCACAAAUAUUUGCCCAACUGAACUGAACUGAAAUUCAGGGCAACACUGUGGCUCUGUCUUCCGUCCUCAGAACACAAGCCCAUUAUAGCCAACAUAUCAUAUGUUUAAUAGUCAUCUGGGGUGUGUAAUUCAAAAACAGAAUGAAUAAAAAACAUAAAAAGCUAAAAUUCAAUGACUCCAACUUGGAGCUUUUCAAAACGGUUCUGGAUAUUACAAUUUUUAUGAAUACCUAAAACAAUCAAAACAAAAGUUUUCUUUUCAGUCAUGAGUUUGAAACUGGAUCAAAAAGAGGAAACAAAAUUAAGGGUAAGUUCUGUAAGAGAGAUUUUCUAUUAUUCUAUUUCAUUUUCUUUGGAGGAACAGUGUAUUCAAGGUCCAAAAGACUUGUGUUUUUAUAUGAAUUUAUCACUUGCAUUAAGCAAUUAGUCAUAUCCAACCAGGGCUCUAAUUGUAGACCAGUUUCACUGAGACAUCUGUCAAAAUAGUACUGUAAUUUUUUAUUUGAAAUGUGCACCUAUAUAAAUAAUAAAUGUCCUAGAAGCUUUUACAACAUCGCAUUUAAAUGGUUUCCCUCCAACAUUUUUCAACUCAAAUGUCGGAAGACAUUUUUAUGUCUAUUUACUUUGAAAGGUCAAAGGAAGUAUAAAGGAAAGAAGAGAGACUAAAUGAAUAAAGUGAAAUGCUUAAUGGAAGAGAAAAAGGUGGUGAAACCAGGUUUAAACUUGUAGAUUAGUUUAAGACUGUUUUUCAAACCGUGGCUAUAACCUAUCAGUAGAUCUUUAAAAAUAUUGGGUCACAGUCCGCAUUUUUAAAUGGAGUGGAAUAGAACACAUCAAAGCACAUGUUAUCUACAAAUGGUAAAUAUCAUUUUACAAAAGUUUUGUUUUAGUUAUAAAUGUGUCUGUGUUUGUUGUGUACUGAGGUCAUGGUAUAAAAUAUAUUUCUUCUUGUGGGUUGCAGUAAAAAAAGUUGGAAAGCUACUGUUUUGGUUUUUGGUUUUUGGUUUGGGGGAGUUUUUUUUACAACCUGUCUCUACUUCCAUCAGUCCAUCUUCCACACUGAUUCCAGAAUCAUCUUCUAAAUUCAGAUCACAUCAUCCUAAUGUUUUACAAACACAUGCGCUGCCUAUUCUCCACUGCCUACAUGCGCUUUACCAUGGCCCACAACACCCUUCGCUAUCUGGCUCCAACUUACUUAAUUCUCCAGUCCUCUUUCCUACUAACCACCCCCAGGACCUGCCCUGCACAUGUACCCUGAACUCCAGCCACACUGAACUUCCCUCUGUUCCCUAAACCUGCCAAGCCCUUUCAUCUCUCCAUAGAAUAUACACCAUUGAGCAUUAACUAUGUGUCAGGCUCUGUGCUAAGCAUUUUACAGGUAUCAACUAAUUCAAUACUCACUACGACCUUCUACAGUAGACAAUUAUUAUCCCCAUUUUGCAGCUGAGGAAACUAAGACACAGAGAAAGUUAAAUAACUUGUGCAAGGCAGCUGGUAAAUGACUUUUCAAAAUUUCUGACACAGGCAGUCUAGCUCCAGAGCUGAUGUUCUUAAUCCUAUGGUAAUUUUUUCUUUCCAUUAAGGUUUUUCUACCCCCAUUUCUCUGCCUUCCCUACCUGGAAAACUCCUAUUCAUUCCUCAAGACCCAACUCAAAAGUUACCUCAUCUACAAAAACUUUCUCAGUUGCACCAGAUAGAUGUAGUUGUUCCAUCCUCUGUGCAUGUUAUUUAUCUAUUGCUAUUUAUGUAGUAAUAUGCCAGGCAUCAUGCCCAGCACAGGAGGAUCAAAGAUGAGGGAGACAUCAUGUCUGCCCCCAAAGCCUCUGCAGUGUGGCAGAGGAGACAGACACUUAGAUCAUUAUGAUACACAGUAGUAAGUGCAAGUAUUGAGAUUAUAAAUAUAGUGUUCCCAGACAUCAUGGAGAAGGGACUUCUAACAUAUCCUAGCUGGGAAGAGAAGGUGAGGAGGUAAAGAUCAGGCAAGGCUUCCUAAAGGGGUAGGGGAGGUAGGGGAGCUGAGCCAGGUCUGAGCUGAGUACCUGUCCCCAGGCGUUGUCAUUCUCUGUCACGCAUCUGUUUCUCUGGCCAGCUGGCAGGUCCUCAAGGAUCUGGUUCAUCCCUGUUUCCCCAGGGCUCUCAUGCCAUGCCUGGCUCACAGUAGGCACUUUUCUAUGAGUAUAUGAACAUACGUGUGGAGUGUGAGGUUGAUACAGGGUUCAGGGGUUGGGAUUUCUAUCUGAGUAACAGAAAAUAGUCGCCUAGACUUAAAGAAUAACUAUCAAAGAAUCACUGAUACUCCUUCUUCAGCACAUUCUCUUGUCACUUCACUUCUCUGUUGUGCAUUCAUUUGUCCUUAGUAUCGGCUCCUCCAUUACAGCUGGUCUUCUCUUGCUUGAGGGCUUGGGUUUUACUCCCCUAGCUUUGACGCAGGCUUUCAUCCUUCUUACAGGUCUGAGAUCCAUCUCCUUUCCAUCAUCCCCCCUCCUGCUCCCCUCUUAUCACAGUCCCCAUUUUCCUCCCACCCCUCAUAGAGAGCAUUUGAGGAACUGAUGCUUGUGUAUGCAUGCACAAACGUGUGUGUUGUGUACUCAGGAUGUAAAAGGAUAUAUUUCUUCUCGUGAUUUGCAGUGGAAAAAGUUAUGACCUUUGUUAUAGAGUUUCCUUUAUUUUUCAGUUUUCAGUCGAACCCAAUUGCAUGAAAUGGAUUAUGAAUCUGUUCGCUAUCACUCCUGAUGUCACUUCCUUCUCUAUCACUGAGAAUUCAUUGGUACUCCUAGAAGGAUUCAAACUCUUCUUUAUUUUUCAAGUUAAUUUCUCUAUGACUUAACCAUAUACCAUUUUCUUCCCUAUAUCAUUGCAAUGUCCCUCCACUUAGAAUGUCACUAUAUUAUAAUAGCAACAACAAUAAUAAAAGCAACUACCAUUUAUUAAGCAUGCACUACGUAAAUAUAUUAUAAUUCUCACAGCAGUCUGUGUAUUGGUCACAAUCCCCUUUGCACAAAUGAGGAAACCAAAGCCCAAGGAGACUUUCUGAUGAUCCUGAAGCUCAUAUGGGAUGGAAUAAGCCAAAAUCAAACCCCAACAUUUUGGGUUCCAAAAUUCCCAUUUUUCAUCUUCCCAACAAACUUAUGAGGUGGGUACUCAUAUUAUCCCCCAUUUAUAAGGAAACUAUAAUUUUCCCAGGUUACACAGUAAGUGGAAGAGUUGGAAUUCAAAUUUAGGUGGUCUGGCUUCAGUUUUUGUGCUCUUAAUCAUUUGCUAUACUGAGUUUACUCUGUUUUAGUGUUUCACUGGAAUAUAAUAUACAUACCAAAACUGCAUUUAUCAUAAAUCAAACAACUCGAUGAAUUUUCACAAAUUGAACACACCUGUGUAAACUAACCUCCAGCUCAAGAAACAGAACAUUAUCAGCAACCCCAAAGCCCCCCAAAUGUUCCCACUGUCACUAAUGCCUCCAAGGGGAACUGCUCUCCUAACUUCUAGCACCACAACUAUAGCUUUUCCUAUUCUUUAACUUUAUACAAAUGGAAUUGUACAGUAUGUUCUCUUUUGUGUCUGGCUUCUUUCCCUCAGCAUGAUGUUUGUGAGAUCCAUCCAUGCCUUUGAUGUGAUGGUAGAUCAUGCUCUGCCUUCAAUAAGGACACAUGUGAGGUGUUAGAAGUUCACCGAUUUAUAGUCCCUUUCUGGAUGAAUUGACAGUGUAGAAAGAGGAAAAAUGUAUGAAAACAUAUAAAUAACAAAGUAUUAACCAUAAUUCUGACUUAGCUUUAUCAAAAUCACUCCAAAUUAGUGAAGGUUUAAAAAAGUAAAGAUUGAAAUCAAUGAGAUUUGUAUGCUUAUCUUUCCAACUAUUUAGUAGGUAGAGAAGUUAACAAGUGUCCGAUAAGAGAGCCGUCUUACUUUUGAUGACAGUGGAAUGCUUUAUCAAAUUAUUCAUUUACAUCAACAUAAAAUUGACACUUUCUUUUCUUUUCACAGAACCAACAAAAAUAUUUUGGUACAAGACAAUUGUUGAAGAACUUGUUGAUGGCAUUGUUGUCUCAUCACAAAUAAAAGAUAUUCACCAAAGACUAGCUUAAGGAGCAUCACACAAAGCAGCCCAUGAAAACUAAGACAAACUGGGAACCAUUUCAUCUUAGUCGUGGGUAUGGGAUAAGCCAUGUAAUGCUCAGAGAGUCAAACUGAAAAAGAGCUGAAGACCAAGGGAUGUAUUUAAACAAGACUGAUCUUUUAACAAUGGAAAAAAUAAACAUCAGCAAGAUAUUUGGGGAGUUUUUUGCUCAUAUGCAAUAAAGUCAUAUGAAGAGAUCCAUCUGCAUUUUGGAGUUGUUAAAUCUUUUGUGAAUUUACCAAAAAUGAGUACACUUCUGAAUCAGGAGGUCUAAUAUUGAGGUUUUCUGUUCUGGCCUGAAGCAAUCAACUUGGGUCAAGUGCUUGUCUGAACACUUGGUAAACACUUGGUAAACACUUAUUGUUUACUAGACGGUAAAUAAUAAGAGAGAAACACUCCCUUCUAGAAGCCACAGUCUAGCUGGAGAUGUGAGAGACACUCAUGAAAUAGUUCAAUGGCAUCAGACUAUCACACAGCACC